CUUUAGAACUUGAUUGUUUUCACAGUCAAUGAACACGAAAAUAUUUGCAUAGCGGGACUAAAUCGUCGGGCUGGCUACGCUACUGACAAUAUAUUAUCAACAGUUACAUAAGAAUUUAUAACUUGAAUAUCCAAAAAGGCAAUUUAGGUGCGAACGGGACUCUUGAAAAGGACAUACAAGCACAUGCCAUUAAUUUAGAUAUUGUGUACUUAAACGUUACACAUAGUACUAUAUACUCAUGUGGACAUGGAAAACAUGCGGAAAGACAUUAAAUAAGAUAUCCUGCGGCAAGGAUAUUUCACCUCUGAGAUCGGGAAUGUUGACAGGGUGGGUUGGCUAACUAACCCUUCUACCGUGCUCCCAUCCUCGUCCCCAGGGCCUCUCGGCCGCGCGUCCUCCAUAGGCCCUGAGACACACGGAACCGGAAGUGCAAGAAAACUUGCAGUAGUUUCUAAGGCACAUACUGUUGUAUUGGGACGCUUUACUGAACCGUAACAAUUUUCACAGUGAAGUAUUACGACGAAACGAAGUAUUUGUG